rnacentral:rRNA from 1 species
UACGUAGGGGGCAAGCGUUGUCCGGAUUUAUUGGGCGUAAAGAGCGUGUAGGCGGCCAGGUAGGUGGGUUGUGAAAACUGGAGGCUCAACCUUCAGACGUCGACCCAAACCCCCUGGCUAGAGUCCGGAAGAGGAGAGUGGAAUUCCUGGAUGUAGCGGUGGAAAUGCGCAGAUAUCAGGAGAACACCGGUGGCGAAGGCGGGUCUCUG